rnacentral:lncRNA from 1 species
CCGGCCUCAAUUGCCUCACCUCCAAAAUGGAGGUCUUAAUGACAAUGGUCUGGCUUCACUCACAGGGUUAUCGUGAAAAUCAAAAGAGAUUGCUCAGGGAAAAGCCUCUUCAAACUGGAGCUCCAGGUGAUGGUUGUCAUCUGUCGAUGUUGCUCUCUGGUGAGGAAUCCGAGCCUCAGAGAGGGAGUGGGCUUUGUCCGGCAUCACGACAGCUGAAGCCCACAGGCUAGGAUUUGAACCCAGAUCCUGAAGACGCCAGGGCCUUUGCCCCUGUCCACUAGCUGUUGUGGCCUGCUUCACAACCAUGUCUCCUGGCCCCCGCUCCAGG